CCUUUUGAGAGAUAAAAAUGUCACUCUAAAGUUUGCUGAGUGCGUUGACCCUUUCAUUCGAGUUAUUGAUGGGAUUGUAGGAGAGCGUGUCGCCAUAAGAGUGAGUACUUGCACACUUGUUAUGUAUUAAGUUUGUUGUGUCAAUGCCCAGGGCAGUGUAUUAGAACUGUUGAAUACCACUUAAUCAAUUUGGUUUUGUUUGAGCAGAUUGAUCUCGAAAGUUCAAAUGGGCACACCACCACUGGAUUAUUUGCUCACAACAAUCUAUCCGUAUCCGUGGGCUAUGCAGCGGCCGCAUUUGCUCUAGCAGUUCUAGAAGGCAGCACAAAGCCAGGGGUUUGGUUUCCAGAAGAGCCAGAGGGAAUAGCUAUUGAUGCAAGGAAGCUCUUGCUCCGACGGGCAUCUCGAGGAGUAACAAACUUCACAAUGAACAAGAAUUCCGGGAUGAUAGAAUGCUGAUAAUAUGGAAAUGAAUCCCCGGCUGAUAGAAUGCUGAUCAUAUGGAAAUUGGCGAUGGAAGUUAUAGCUUCAU